GAUGAACGCUGGCGGCGUGCUUAACACAUGCAAGUCGAACGGGAAUUACUUUAUUGAAACUUCGGUCGAUAUAAUUUAAUUCUAGUGGCGGACGGGUGAGUAACGCGUGGGUAACCUGCCUUAUACAGGGGGAUAACAGUCAGAAAUGGCUGCUAAUACCGCAUAAGCGCACAGAGCUGCAUGGCUCAGUGUGAAAAACUCCGGUGGUAUAAGAUGGACCCGCGUUGGAUUAGCUAGUUGGUGGGGUAACGGCCCACCAAGGCGACGAUCCAUAGCCGGCCUGAGAGGGUGAACGGCCACAUUGGGACUGAGACACGGCCCAGACUCCUACGGGAGGCAGCAGUGGGGAAUAUUGCACAAUGGGGGAAACCCUGAUGCAGCGACGCCGCGUGAAGGAAGAAGUAUCUCGGUAUGUAAACUUCUAUCAGCAGGGAAGAUAGUGACGGUAC
rnacentral:rRNA from 1 species